rnacentral:misc_RNA from 1 species
GUUCAUGUAAGAAAAGAAUUAUUAGAAAGACAAUUCUGUAUCAGCAAAUGAGGCCCAUAUGUGCUCUAAAUUCCUGGUAAAAUCCUUCUCUCUCCCCAUGAUUACAGAACAAUGGUCAGUGUUUGAGAUGAUAUUGAUUUCUGCAUUAGGAACCUUACUCUUGAUGCUUUCGCUACACUCCAAGGGGACAACAUUGUCGCAAUCACCAUGAAUAACACAAAAUUUCACUCCAGAUUUCAUCAAUCUGUCCAAGUUUUCAUCUAGAAAUUUUGCCCCUCCACAUAUCACAUUGUGCAUUGUAUGCCAAGCUGAAUGAUGGGUGUGCCUGGUCAAGUCCAUAAUCAUGAAAUGCAGAUCCCUGGAAAACACCAACAAGCUUCUCAAAACAUGGUUUAUUGUAAAACAAUAAAAUGGUCUGUUGUUGCAAUUGAUGAAGGCAUAAAGCUGGUGUUACCUUCUCCAGGUGAGUAGCUUCAAAAUCUUCUCCCAUAUCCUGUGGUUUCUGCAAACAAGUAAACAAACGCAUCGACCCAAGUGUUCAUACCAUGACAUGAAUGAUGAACCAAAUAUCAAUGGUGGCCACAGUCUCUUCCCAGCAAGUUUCUCAAGUGCUGUUAAACUUGCCCCUUCUUUUGAACUUGGGAUGUAAGGCUACAGUGUGUUUGGACAGGUAGAAAAAGGUCAGAACAAGCAAAUGCACGUAAGUGAACUCUAAACUACUAUCAAUUGAGCCAAAGAUCAGGAUAUGACUGUUCAAAAGUUGUUGGCUAUAUGCUUCAUGGUAAAAUUUUCACAAAAGGCUAAAAUAUUUCAAUCUAGCAUAGCAUCUAACUCUUAUGCACUCACCGGUGCUGUGAGGACGAUUGAUUUCACACAAUUUGAGUAUUUUGCAGCAAGAGCUAAUGAAAUAGUGCAGCCCAUGGAAUGCGCGACAAGAUGGAAAGACUUCAACUCAAAUGGUUUAAUCACAGAUUUUUCAAUCAUCUCCAAGUGAUCUGUUAGAGUGUAAAAACAAUCCUUUGGCUUAGGGCUUCUUCCAAAUCCCAAAAGGUCAACAGCAAAUAGUCUGUAGUUACGCUUUACAGGCUCAGAGAGAUUUGGAAACACUGUUUCUGUCCAAAAUGAAGAAGAAGAGAGGAAUCCAUGCAAGAAUAUCACAUUUUCUGCCAAAUCUCCGCAGCAAUUCUCAUUAGCAGCUAUUGAACAAGAAAUUAUAACAACAUUAGCAACCAUUCUACAUUUGAAGGCAAGACAGCUGUUGCUACCUGAAAGCUAGAAGAAUUACUAUUGGAGGAGAGCAAAUAUUGCCAAUGAAUCAUCGAUCACCCAUCAAAAAAUUAGAAUUUUUUUUUUCAAAGAUUCCAUAAUUCUUGAUCAAUAUUCUGAUUUAGUUAAGACGAAGGAAUAGAAAUUGCCGGUGCCUGGCCCUGGUGUAGGGCUCUCUAUGUAGGGAUGUUAAGAUUCAGCAAUUACCAGUUACAAGAAUUGCCAUUCCUUAGCCAAAAUAAAAUGUCCACUCUCUAAGCAUAAUUCACCAUUUAGCUAAUUGAAUUAUGAAGCUGCCCAAAACCAAACCAAGAACAAGCAGAAUAUGUCCCAACUCUAAUCUUUCAUUUCCCAGUAAACAAACAGAAUCUAAAGUUAUAAAUUGAAGGCUUUCCAAUUCCAACCACAGAAGGAAAUCCCCCAUAAUUACGAACAUAAUGCUCUUUUUUGGUUAAGAUUAACUCUCAUUUGAUUUAGGUGUCUAAAUAUCUAUCGAAUAAAGCUUUAAUUCAACAUUUGAUUUAAGUGAUGCAAGCAAGCAAAGCCUAUAAAUCAAGUAGCAAAUGACAAUAACUCAAAUAAGUGAAAAAAGAAGAAGAAGAACAGCAAAAGAAAAGUAUGAAGGGUUUACUUGUAGGAUCACCAGUCGAUGGCUCCUUGACAACUACAUGCAGAUUCUGUCCACCACCAUCCUUCAUCCAAGAAACACAAGAUUCACACCCACAAUCAGACCAAACCGUUAUUCCAUCACCACCACCAAAUGCUUUCUUGCGAUUCUCCCAUUUUCUUGCAAAACCCAGAAAUCUCAUUUGCCUAAACACGUUGUUCCUUCCAUACAAAGUUUCCGAAAGCUCACUCUCUCGAUCAUCCCCCACACUCCCCUGUAGCUCUCCCCUGUCUCCACAAUAGCAACGGUAUGCCUUCCCUUCAAAGAACUCAUCGAGAUACCUAUAAAUUAUGCAAAAAAUUACUUCAAGAAAAUCAAAAAUGAGGAAAACAAUGAAGCUAGUUGCAGAGAUGACUGUGGCAGCGGAUUUUGUCGUCCAUUUUCCUACCAAAGAAGAAGGAAACAUGGAGAAGUAAGAGAACGAGAGAAAGUUGAUUGGAAGCGAAACAUGGGGUUGAGAGUUGAUGGAAAGAAAGAUAAAUAUAGAGCCACGUCUCGUGAAGACCUUCGAACGAAAAGUAUGAUUCUCUUGGAAUUUUAUCCAAGAUGAGCGAAU